GUCUCUUCUCUGGCUUAAUGAGUCCUGGUUGUUUGGUAAUUUCAUUGGAGACCUGUUCACUCCUUGAUGAACCUCUUCAUCGUCGUCUCUGGUAAUGGUGGUAGUGGACAUGCUCUGACUCAGGCUGCAAAUCUCUGAUUCCCGUUAGACGUCUCCAUUGUUAUUGUAAAUGGGUAUUUCUCCCCAAGCUUUUCUGGGUCUUCUUGCUUGAUUUUCUUGUCAAAGACUAGUGCUUUUGAGGACCUAAAGCUGAGGAGAGAGAAAGACCUCUAGGAGCUUCUACAUAUUUUUUAGUUAAACUUUUUUUUUUUUUUUUCACCUACCUUGAUAUCCCUGAAGAUAAAUUUGUGAUGUGGAACAGGUUUUUAGGUGCGAUUAAGCAAUACUUAUGUCUGUCACUGUUGAAAGCAGAGAUUGGAGUAUAUAUAUUUUUUUCGUACGAUUGUUCUAAGAGUUUUGGAAAAUGUUGCGCAACACUGUUGCGGGCCUGACAUUUAAAGGUUUCUUAUGGGGUUUAAGGGUUCAUUUCGUGAAAUUUUCAAAACGAGAAAGAAUUUGAAAGAAAAUUAGAGAAAUAAGACGAACAAAGAAAAAGAAGAAAAUUAGAGAAUGUAGGGAUGCUGUGCCUUGUUGUAGUUUGUUGUGUUCUCUAGGUAGAUCAAAUGAUCUGCAUGAUUGUGGAUGUGGGUCUGGUGGACAAGUUAAUGUUACUUGUUCUUAAAUGUGACAGUUUUCAUUAUUUCUUGAUGUCUCUUUUCACUUUUUUGUACAGAGGAUUUUGUUACUGAGAUGGAGAGACUAAAAGGUUUGGCAUUGGUUCUCCUGAGGGUCCUAUAUCUCUUGAUGGUUUUUGAAGUCUUCAACUGUCAAACACGGUAUCUCAUUUUUAUGAUAUUACAGAAUUGAUUGAUGACAUAUGUCACAGUUGUUACUUGGUCUUUGAAACUCAAUAUAAUUAACUUCUUUGAAAAACUACCAUAUUCAGGAAUUGAGGAAGCAAUUAGAAAAUCAUGUUGUUACAAUUGAUACAUUGCACAAUGAGAAUCGUCUGGCUGUUCAGUGUCAUGAAAACGUAUGCUGCUUGUGACCUGUGAUCUCUCUCUCCCCCCCUCUCUCUCUCACCGUCCUUUUCGCUGGAACAACCAAGUACAUCAAUCUACUUAUCAAUGACAGGUGUUGUUCAAUCGUGCAGGAAAAGAAAGUAUUGAAAGAAUCAGUUGCAAGAGCUUAUCUUGAUGAACUCAAUUAGUUGCAUCACAUUCUGGAGAUUAAACAGAAGUUGCUUGUAGAGGUCAAUAGAAUAUCUGCACAAACAAAACAUGCUAUUGAAGACUUUAAUGAAAGGCUCAAUGGUACAAAGCUGUCAUGUUCUGAAGCAAAUGAAAUAGCGAAUAGGUAAGGCACAUAUUAUUUGGUCCUGUGUUUUUUUUUUUUUCUGGAUAGAGUCAACUUAUACCAAUAAGUAAUAACACUAUAUUGUUAGGCCUCAUUUUUUUCUGACUAGGUGUUCAAGUUGCUCCUUGUUAUACCUGAUUUUAUGUCGUGCGCAAAUCUAGAGUUCCAAAUUUUCUGAUCCAUGGCAUGGGAAGAACAUGGACACCAUUUUGUUUGGGGCCAGCUUUUAUGUCGUGCACUAAUCUAAUGUGUGUGUGUGUGUGUGUGUGUGUACUUUCACAUCAUUUAACCUGGCUGUCCUUGUAUGAUAGUGGCCUGUGUAUAUGUUGAUUUUUGGUAUCCUAAUUAUAUACUCUCUCUCGUAUAAUCCUUAGUUUGCCAUAGUUUCUUGUGCUUGUCUGCUUAUGCUCAGCAUUUGACUCGAGGUUUACUUGGAUUGUGAUUUUUAAUCAUCCUUGUAUAAUAGAUCAGUACCUUGGAAAAAUGGUGAAAUGAAUGCUUGAUUUGUAUGAUGGAGUUUUGGUGAUUUCAAGCUAAGAGAAGUUGAUUUUUCAUAAAGCUAGCAAGCACAUUGAUGAUCUGGUUAAUCCACCUACUUGCAUGUGUGAAAUUAAUAUACUGCAACUCAGGCGGAAAAAGGUAAUAUGCUGCAACUAAAUAGGGCUACAUAAAAUUUAUGAACUCAAGUAACCUCAACUAAAUAGGGCAUUCUGCUAAAAAAAAAUAGGACUACAGUCCAUUUUCCAAGAUUACUUGGGGGCCCUCUACAUGAAUAUUUUUCUGCUUCUUGACCGUGUAUAAAAUGUUUGAUCUUCUAUCUCCUAAGUUCAUAUCCGUCUCUCUUGACUACUCUUUUCAGUGGUCCAUUGAUCCUUUCUUAGGUCUUUGUUGCAUGCUGUUACACUUCUAAGGCAGUUUCAACUGGAGGGCUUAUUUAGACAAUUGAACUGACCAAAUUAUUACUGGUCCUUUCCAGAAAGAAAUGUGGUUAUCCAACCUUUUGAAAUUUUCUAAUUUAGAUAUUAAUUGAGCAUACGUAUGCGCAUCUAUUUAGGAGUCAUGAUUCUUCUCUAAAUCCUGCCUGUACUUAUAUCAAUGUAUGCGAAGUCUGGUGCUGUUUAGAAUAAGUUAUUCUCUAGUUAAUCAGUUCCAUUCAUAUUGUUAUCACUUCCCCUAUGCAGAAUAUUGAAGCUACAGUAGAUGUUGUUUUAUUUGCUGCAUAAUAACUGUUGUGUGAUAGCUGGACAAUAAAAUUGAAAUAAAAUGUGACAUUUGGUUCUAAUAUAUCAGAAUUAGUUACUGAAAUUUUAUUAUUCUUUUGCCUGAACUGAAACUUGUGUAGUGAUAUAUAUAAUGUAUGCUAAUUAGUUUUGGAUUGUCUAUGUCUUCUUUCAGGUAACAAGGAGAAGAAUAAAUUUUACGGUUGAUAACAGUGAGCCGAGCCCGACGGGGCAGUGGAUUGGAUUCUCUGUCUCCUCCUGUAGUCUUGUAUCUGAAAAGUAUGGGAAGCUAGCUAGCUCAAUUUAGAAUUUAUACAUCUUUCACUCUUCAGGAGUUUUGAAUCAUGUUGUAUGUUGUAUGCUGUAUGCUAUGCUAGCCACAUAUUUUUUUUAAUUAUAAAAAAAGUGAAUUCAUUGAGAACAAUUAUGUUUCUGAAAAAUAAAAUUGCCCUUGUUCUACAUUUAAGAAAGUCCCGUGCUUCAUUCAGGUUCAUGACCUACAAAACAAGGUGGGUAUUCUUCAAUUCAACUCUCUGGUAAGUGGUUAAUUUUAAAAUGGGA
rnacentral:lncRNA from 1 species